GACGAACGCUGGCGGCGUGCCUAAUACAUGCAAGUAGAACGCUGAAGGAGGAGCUUGCUUCUCUGGAUGAGUUGCGAACGGGUGAGUAACGCGUAGGUAACCUGCCUGGUAGCGGGGGAUAACUAUUGGAAACGAUAGCUAAUACCGCAUAAGAGUAGAUGUUGCAUGACAUUUGCUUAAAAGGUGCAAUUGCAUCACUACCAGAUGGACCUGCGUUGUAUUAGCUAGUUGGUGGGGUAACGGCUUACCAAGGCGACGAUACAUAGCCGACCUGCGAGGGGGAGCGGCCACACUGGGACUGAGACACGGCCCAGACUCCUACGGGAGGCAGCAGUAGGGAAUCUUCGGCAAUGGACGGAAGUCUGACCGAGCAACGCCGCGUGAGUGAAGAAGGUUUUCGGAUCGUAAAGCUCUGUUGUAAGAGAAGAACGAGUGUGAGAGUGGAAAGUUCACACUGUGACGGUAUCUUACCAGAAAGGGACGGCUAACUACGUG
rnacentral:rRNA from 1 species